UGAAUACCCGCUUCACUACGGAUCGUCGGGCACGUACCUGCCCGUGAAGGGAAACAACA
rfam:Arthrobacter crystallopoietes BAB-32 contig212, whole genome shotgun sequence.